AGAGAGAGAGAGAGAGAGAGAGAGAGAGAGAGGGGGAGCGAGACCUCCGCUGGCCCCGCGAACUUGUCAAGUGCAAAGCACCAAGCUUUUGGGCUCAAAGAGCUUAGACCAUCAUGGCUACGAAAACUACUGCGGCUCAGAGAGUAUGUAAUUCUGGAGCUCCUUAAGGAAAAAAAGUAGUGCGAUGCAACAUCAGAACAGUGGCAAAGUGAGCUUCUCCACAGCAUGAACUUCAUGAACUUCAACCUUGAACUGAAGAAGACUCAUCAAAUGCCUUAGGAAAGACAGUAUGGAGUUGGAAGAGAAGCAGGGAUCUCCAUGAAGGGCAGUCAGUCAUGGUCAUGGUGUGUGGAGGAACAGGUCCUGUUCUCGCUGUUGUUACUCCCACAUAGACAGACUCUGUAAUUGAUUAUGUGUGGGUAGGGCCCUAUUGAAAUUCAGGAGAUUCUGCAGUAGUGCAGGGUUCUUUUUGUGAAAGCGCAGUUGCAAGAUCAGGACCCUACUGUGACUCCUUACUGUGCAUUCUGUCACUGUCUCAUUGAUUGUACUGGAACCUGCCUAUUGGGAUAAUUACCAAAAUCUAUAUUCCUCAAAACUUCUUAAUGGCACUGAGGCUUUGUGGAUAGUUGGUCACAUGAUGAGAAAAUUCAGCUGUAAUUCACCAUGGGACCCUGAAGUUCUUCCCUACUGCAAUUAGACUUGCCGGAGUUCAUGAUUCCUGAGAAGUAACCCCUUGAAGUUCUGGCACUAUCUUCUACAAAGUAACUUACCCUGAGCUGGCUUCCUGUUACUGUGUCAAUGAAACAUCAAAUGUUGAUACUAUGUGUGAAACAACAUUUGAUAUUACGGCUAUUAAGCUGCUUUAAAAAAUACUAUACAGAUGGAUUUUAUGUUUACAAGACCUGGCAUUUAAAAAUGUAUGUCAUGGAUGCAGGUAAUAAAUGUUGCUUAUGAAUUGUUACAGGAUAGAAAAUACAUAUAUUUGUGUACAAUAUGCUGGUCUUAGCUCUCGCUACUUUCAUCUCCUAAA